rnacentral:rRNA from 1 species
UACGGGGGGGGCAAGCGUUGUUCGGAAUUACUGGGCGUAAAGGGUGCGUAGGCGGCUUUCUAAGUUGGAUGUGAAAACUAUGGGCUCAACCCAUAGCCUGCAUCCAAAACUGGAGAGCUUGGGUUCUGGAGGGGAAAGCGGAAUUCCUGGUGUAGCGGUGAAAUGCGUAGAUAUCUGGAGGAACACCGGUGGCGAAGGCGGCAUCCUGGACCAACACUGACGCUGAGUGAGCGAAAGCCAGGGGAGCGAACGGG